CAGAACCCCACACUGGAACCUGAGUUUGUAGAAGAAAACUUUUCCUCCCAGCAACACUGUCUAUAUUUUUCUGGAUAGACAAGAGAGUGUGUUCAAAUAGAUAAUGCAAUUUGGAAGCCUGUGUUUUGUUUGAAGGGAGGAAGCUAAAAACCAGUUAAAGUGGAUCUGUGCUUUCCUGACUUCCCAUAGACACUGCAGUCUACAAUCUUAACAGGGUAUUAGGUGUGAAUGGAACCAGCUGACCACCAUGGGCAGCAGAUGGGACUAGAACAGUGGGGAUGAUGUAGAGGAAUCAUUUAUUGUACCAAACACUUCAUUCUACCUGGUUUUGUGGUAAGUUCAUAAAAAGAGGAAGAAGUAAGAAAAAGAUUUAUAUACAUAUCUUUUGGCAUUUAAACUGAAAGAUUAAGUCAGAAGUUAAUGAAUGUGAUUAUAUAUAAGGAAUGGGCAGUGAGAUGUUCAUCUCCUUUUUAAAAGUUGAAUAUAAACUAAUAAAUUUAGUAACAAAUAUUGUUUCAAGUUACAUAAAAAACAUUCUGGGAAUAUUCUUAAAGGUAGGUUUAUUCAUUCUAAUGUUGGUGCUGUAAAAAAAAAAACAACUCCAUUGUGGGGAGAACCAAGACAAUUACAUAUGUAUACACACACCAUAUAUAUAUAUUUCGUACACACACACACACA